rnacentral:rRNA from 1 species
CCCUUAGAUGCCCUGGGCUGCACGCGCGCUACACUGGAAGUUCCGGAUUGAGAUACUACCUUGUCCGAAAUGGUCCGGGUAAUCACCUAAAAGCUUGUCAUAAUUGGAAUGGAUUAUUGUAACUAGUAAUCCUGAACGAGGAAUUCCUAGUAAGUCCCAGUCAACAGCUGGUACUGAUUACGUCCCUGCCCUUUGUACACACCGCCCGUCGCUACUACUGAUUGGACGUUUAAGCAAGAUUUUUAAACACUGACAGUGUGUAGUUCACGCUAUACUACAGUGAGAAGAAGAAGAUCGAGCUUACUUGUCUAGAGGAAGUAAAAGUCGUAACA